GAAGAGCACCAGCUCCUUCAGCACUGGGAGGACUGAACAGCCCAUGCACUGGUGAAUUUGCUGAGGCAUCACCUCUGUCACAGUAGGGGUGAACAGUGCUCCCUAGAGUGGUGAGAUAUGCAGCAGAUGAGCUGAGCUGGUGUCGCCGUGUGUUCUAGAACAGUCUUUUCAGCACACUGUUUAGGAGCACAGUGAAGGAAGGGACUGUGUUUACGGUGAUAGGCACAGUUUAACGCUUUUUUAGCUUUGAAAUGAGGAAAAUGAUCUUGUCUCCAGGUUACGCUGUAAUAGGCUAUGACUGUGAAGAACUGUACAGUGCUCUCCAUUUAGAGAUAAACACCUCAAUUGCAAGAAAAAAAGAAAAGAACGUACAUAAGGCAGUGGUGGAUCAUUAGGGAGAAGGUGGGUCACUGGCCAUAAGGGGAUAGGGAGGACACAAAGCUAAGAUGACACUGAGUUGUCCUGGUACCACCAAGGAUUGCCUGCAGGUCAUCAGUGUCCUUUCUACAGUGUGCAUGGGAAUCUGGCCUCCAGAAGGACCCUCCAUGGUAGCUGCCACAGUAUGGAGAAGCCACUCUCUAACCUAGAAUGUAGGUCACAGAGUUCCUGCAGGCUGGGUGGAGGCUGAUGCUUGUCUGAAGCCAGCCUCUAGCUGCAAUGUUCGUUCUUUGUCCAGCUGUGCCCUGCCCUAACUGGGCUCUCCUGGGAGCUUUUAAAUAAGCCAUUUGUACAAGGGUCAAAGAUUACUUGUUUGUACAAUGCAGAUGUCACCUGGACCUUGAAGUCCUGGGAAACUAGGUUCAAUUUGGCUUGAACCCUUGUUCCAUGACCUGCGGUUAUCUCUGCCUGCAUCUGGCUCCUCUUCAACAGCCUUCUCUCCUUUUUCUCCUGUACCUCUUCCUGUUGACAAUGUCUGUGCUCUUGGUGGUUUUUGACUUAUUAGCGGAAAUGUAGUAAUAAACUUUGCGGGAUACCUCAAAAGUAAGCACACCCAUAGCAGACAUGCAGAGACUUAAAAGGGGAACAGAAAAAAUAGAAAAGAAAAGAGAAACAAAUGACGGAGAAAGGCUGUGCUGUGGCAUAGAAACCUGGGUCACACAGAGCAGAAAGCCAGUACUUUUGCUAUGACACAUGGCAGCCUUUGUUCUGUUUAUUGCUUAUUACAUACAAAAAUAGUUUUAAGUUUAUACACUAGUUAGUUCUAAUUGUCACCUUGACACAAUCUAAAAUCACCUGGAAGGCAGUAAGUAUGAGGGAUUAUCUCGAUCAGGUUGGCCUAUGGGUGAUUAUAUUAAUUAAUAUUGAAGAGGCAGCCCACUGUAGGCGGCGCCAUUCCCUAGGCUUGGUCCUGGGCUAUAUAAGAGUAAAGAAAGUGAGCUGAGAACUAACACAAUUCAUUCACCCAUUCCUUUUUGCUCUUGUCUCAGGUCUGACUGGCUACUUCAAUUCCUGCCUUGACGUCCUCCUAGUGAUGACCUCUAACCUGGAAUUGUAUGCCCAAUGACGGACCCCUUUCCUGACUUAAAGUUGUUUCUGUCAGGGUAUUUUAUUCCUUGACUCUGUAAGCAGCAAAGCAGGUUUGCAGGCUUCAGGAUCUAAUUCUUCCGGGUCUGCCUCAGGCAUGUAUUUUUUAAACCUAUCAUUUACUCAAUUGCAGACUUUCAUGAUCUCGAGGAGAGACAAAUUACUGACUCCGAAGAGCUUCGCCAGCAGAAAGAUGGCACUCACUCACUGGCCUUCACCGAUGGGUUUCUAGUCUGUUCUGGGACGUGAAGAGCAGAAUUGAGACGCCUUCAGCACAUCCAUCUGCCCUGACAUUUGGAUGGGAGUUGGCUCUUGCUGUGACAGGAGCGAAACUGUAUUUUGAAACACCUGUUCUUCAAAUUCCAUGGCUAUGUAGGAUUCCCUAGAGGCUGAGAUAAUAAAAAAUGAUCAAACAAAAUCCUCUUUUUUGGGGGGGACAGGGUCUCCUUCUGUAGUCCAGUCUGCCCCGUGUGUGAGUCAGUACUUUCAGACUGUCCUUGAACUCAUGACAAUCCAGAACCAUCAAUCAGUCAAGCUCCUGGAUGCCUUGGUUACCUCACCAGACUCAAGAACACAGCUUUGAUGACUAGCCACAAGCCCCAACUCUUCAGAUAAUUUAUUGGGAGUUUUUGCACUGAUUCCUGGAGACACUAAACAUGAACUCUGCCCAUUUG
rnacentral:lncRNA from 1 species